ensembl:lncRNA
AUAUUAGACUAAAAAGAACAUUUGCUCAGUUAUGCUAGAUUUCUGUGGGGAAUAGUACAGUAAGACAAUUUUAUUGUGGACAUUCAUAGAAAUAUAAUUCCAGUGAUAGAACCUCUGCUCUAUUCAUUUGCCGUUCCAGUCCAAAAGACUAUGGUCAAGCCUUUUUAGAAACUCAUCAUCUUACAGUGUUUUAUUUAACAGCUUAUCCAAGGCCAAAAUCCCUAAGCAACACUUUCUAAUCAGGUCACACGUCUCACUUAAUACACACCAUAACAUGUAUGUGGGUUAAAGGUUGACUGACUUCAUCUGGAGGGAUCUCAAAAAUAGUUCUCUACUACUCUACUCUGCCUGUCCCAGCCUCUUAAGUUAUCUAAUUAUCAUCGGUCUAUUUAUGCCUCUACAGACCUAAUGUCCAUCAGGAUGGAAACUCAGGGCUCCAUAUCUUUGGAUGCAAGUCACCCCCUUUAUGCACAGGGCUCUCCCCGCCACAACGCAGUGACAGUCUGAGAAUCCCAUUAACAGUUUUCUUCAUGGGAGACUUAUUGGGUAAAAAAACACAAACCCAACAGGCUCCAUAACAUCACGUUGGCCCUGACAACCUCAAAUCCCACUGUAGUGUCAUAACAAAUGCGGAGCAGUUGUUGGCCCCCAGUUUGAAGUUUAAACUGUGAACAAUGUUUAAUGUGUCAGGAUUAGACAUGCAAAUUGAUUUAAAACAUAGUAAAACCUGUGUAGAAUUAUGAAUUACAUCCGACAAGUUUGAUGUGCAUGUACUGUAAGCACAGAAGUUUCUCUGGAUAUUUCACCACACUCUGUUGCUUGUUGAUCGGUCUUGUGAAAUUGUGGGUUGACAGCAUACAACAUCACUCCAAUUAGAGCCUGCAGAUGGAGCCGAUAGCUGCUACCUGCAGAUGGUUGUAAAGAGAGUCACCGGAGUAAAGAAGAGACCAGCUGAACACUCAUUUUUCAGAUUGCAAUACCCAACUGAAUGGGAAUGUCCAGGUACCAGGGCUGCGCUACUUGCUGUGCACAGCACAUAAAGCCCACAACGGCUUCAACUCAUGUGCAAAUCUGCAAUUGUGUCUGUUGAUAUUUGGCACAUAUCUAAAUGAAUAUUUAAACCCCCAGUGUGUGGCAUUUUUUCAGGAUCUACAGUAUUAUCAAAAUCAAUCCUAAUAUUGAUUUUAGUAUAGUAGUAGUACUAUAGUAGUACUACUUGUGAAGAAUAGGUAUGAGCAAUGCUUGUAGUGGUUAAGGUCUGUCUUUACUGGUUUCAUGCAGAUAACUAAAUCACUAAUAAAAUAAAAUGAUAUAAAAUAGUUCAAAGCAUGAUCAUUAAAGAUACACAACCUAAGUAGGCUACAUUGAAACUUAAAAUGAAAAGUUUGAAAAUUAAAUGCCAGUAAGUACACAAUUAAGUAUCAAGUCUUCAAGUAUUGUUCUAUUUUAAUAAGUGGUAUUGACGCUUCUCAAUAUUUUCUGUUAAAACACAUUUUGCUGAAAUUCUACAUGCCAGGGAGCACAGGCCUAGUUCAAGUAUAACAUUGAACUAUAUUGACAGUACAUUGACAGUAACAGUAAGAUCCAAGGCGAAUGCCUGUCUCAUUUCUAGUCCAUUACAUUCUUGUUGCUAAGCCACAUUGAUCCAUGAACAAUAAUAUAAAUAGGGAAAUUAUAUAUGUAAAAAUAUACUGUUUGAUGCCCUUACACAUACCAGCACACACACAGACACACACGCACCCUGACAACAUCUUAACACUAGCUUUCUAUCUCUAUUUUACACUAAUGCUCACUUAUUCAUUACCAUAAAAUAUUAUUUCUCCAAGCCUUUAAUAACCUUCAACAAUAAAAGGAUGGUAACUGCUACAUAAUAUCUAUCGAUUCCUUCCAGUUUGAUUUCCUUGAGUAGUUUUGGCUGAAAUUACUUGUGUGUUCAGAACUGAGCAUUUCAAACAGCCUGCCAUAUACCUCAGCAGCAAUCAAUCAGCCUUAAUCCAAAACCAAUUUACUCCGCCUGAAGAGGAAAAUAUCUUUUAAUCUCUUGCCGACAAUCCCUGAUUGCGGUGCAGAGCAUCAGUUGACAGUCAAACUGUGCCGCUUAGAAUGGAAUGUUUAUAUUGGAUUUGCGGUUGCCAUUUUUACAUACACAUGAAUGAAUAGUCAAUUUAAUACAUGUGAGAUCAGUUUUCCCUCUCUGAUGGGGGAUUGCUUCCCAUGACAUCUUUUCCAACAGCAUAUCCUGUUCCAUCCUCAAACACAGUGUAACCAGAAAAGGUCAUCACACAAUAAAAAGCUAUUUUCCUUUUGCCCAAAUUGGAGAGAGAAAUACUCUAGUGUAGGUAGAUUUCUGUCUUUAUUAUACAGACAAAAAACAUAUUUUGGAAAAAAAGCUUUGAUCUUUCACUGCUUUGGUCGCUGAAUGAACCAGGAGUUUAUAUUGCGCUCAGUGUCUGCUCCCACCAUUAGGCGUUGGACCUAACAACACCUCCAAACUGUUACAUUAUUGGACAAUAAAGUACAGCUUCUCGUACCUUAUUGCUUAAAUAAUAUUCAUUGUACCUGCAUUUGUUGUACGCAGGGAGUGCUUGUAUUGUACUGUAGGAGCAGGACAAUGAUCAUACCUAACCAGAGCUUGACAUUAAUAUUUUUGAUCACCAGGUACUGUGCUGGUGGUUUUCCAGUUACUAGCCACUCAGCAGUUUCAUUAGCUACAAUUUUGUUGUUGGGAAAUUCAGUUUAAUUUGCUUAAAGUUGACAGUUUGCUACAAUUUACUUGAAGAACUAGAUUUACAAUCCUUUUAAAUGUAAAUGACCAUUGUAAACACCCAAAUCAAGAAUAAAUGAAAUGUAUAUGUACACAAAAUGUAUAUACAUUUGACAUGGCCAACGGAUACUUACUAUUUUUUUGUUUCCACUGUGAAAUUGCUUGUCCCAACUACAAAGCGAACUCUUUAACUAACUAAAAUAACCUUUUGACUCCCCUAUGUCCUACAGUCACUGCAAUACAUUAUUUUUUUGGCUGUCAUAAACCAUAAACCAGACAUUCUGGACUAGACCUUCACUUUUCAACAGUCUUUUUCUUUGUCUCCUCUUAAUUUUUGGUUUCAUUUUUUUGUGUCUGCCCUCCGGGUUUUCCUAGACCUGCUGUAAUGUGCCGCUACAUCCUUUCCUUCCACUGAGCAGGUCUCCUCAAGUUUUAUCAAAAACCUCUACCUGUCUCGUGUGUUUACGCGUCUAUGUUGCUUACUAAUGAAUGUACGGUGGCCAAGAGGGAGAAGCAAUACUCGCACAAUAUAUUGUUAGCAGACAUCUGGUUGGGAUUUCCUUCUCAAGGUGGGGCUUGUGAACUGGUUGUAAUGCUUUUGUCUCAUGGUCAAUGCGUAAGGCUUGCGAACCCUGCAACUUAGAUGUUCAAAGAAUUGUAGAUGUGUUUUGAGACAAAAGACAGCUGUACCGGAGUGUCUCAUCCAGACGAGGAAACUCUGGCUUCUGUGUUAGUUAAUGAUGCACUUAUGACACAUAAGUGCAUAAUAACUGCACUUACCCCGUAAACCCCAUGGUGGGAACUCCUUUAGCCUCUACGGCAACACUGAGGAGACAUUCUAUCUCAAACGCAAAAUACUAAACAUUUGCCAGUCCGUUACACUACAACAAAAAAGUAUGGAGAAAGAUGUAUAGAAUUCCACCCUCCGUAGUGGCUAGUAAGAGUGACUACUUUACCUGCCACCGCUAAAUUCUACCCGCAUUUGGCAGGUGGGCGGGUGCUAAUAUCAAGCCAUGUACCUAACCCAUUAUAACCUCUGAUGUAGCGCUAGAAGUCACAUAUGUUUGCUGUGUGAAUCGAUUUGGACCAAACUAUGCGUAAAUAUAGAUAAGCUAUGAAAUUUAAUUGUGGAAUGUUAAAAUUGUAAUUGUAAUCUGAGGCUGAUGAAUAAGUAAGACAGCUAAACUGCCAUGUCAAUUAGAUUUUAAUGGAAACAUCCAAAGUUACGUUUCUGCUUUAUAAAUUAUAAAUUACAAAUCAAUCUUAAACUAACCAGGCCAUAUUUGCUGCUUUUUUGUUUUGUUUUGUUUCAAUUCACAAAGUUAGUGUUAUCCGUGAUUUGGGAAAAAAUAAGAAUGCAGUGUAGAUGUAUUGUUGUAUCAAUUUUAGGUUGGCUAUUUUAGAUGGAUAGAUAAAAAAUGUCUUAAAAUGUAAUGGUAUCUUGCAUAAUUUUUUUUUUAUAAAAAAAAAAAAAAAAAGACUAUUCUUGUACCUUGCAAUAUUCCUAUAAAAAGGGUUAUCUCCAUAAUGGUAUGUCAACAGAAUACUACCAAACUAACCACAACAAAAUAUACAUGAAAUAAAAUUUAAAAAACUACAUUUUAUUAUAUUAUUUACUCUAGUUCUGGUUAAUGUGUAAACAGACAUUUGUGGUAUAACUGUUGUACUCAGCAGAACAAAUGCUUACUUUUCAAGUAAAUGUAUUUGGAAAGAGGACGGUUGAAUGAACUGUAACAGACCUGAAUACCAAGGUUUGGGGAAAAAGACAAUUAUAGACAGUGAGUAUUGUUUGCUAUUGAUCAUAGAAAAGGUCUAAGGCGUUGACUUCAACAAUAGUUAAUGUAAGUAGCAAGAAGUGUACCGUCUAUUGACUAGAUGAAUAAUGAGCUUAACAGAUGCCAAUAGUGAGGGCAAAUAGUGUCUCUACCCGAUAAAGCCUGCCCACCCUCGCUUUCUUUCAGCGUUUCAGCUACCAGGCAGACGAACAGUUGAUUAAGAAGGGGCUUCUGGGUAGCUGUUGUUUUACUCGCUAUUGAUCCUUGGAGCACAACGUUCCAUCAUGCAGAGAAGGCCAGCGCCAAAGACAAUAGCUAAAUUAAGAUGGCUAACCACUUCAUUUCACUACGAUUGCAGACUUUGUCACUCUUUUUCAUAGCUCUUGUUGUUUGGUGAGAAAAAAAUCAAGCGCAAAAGGGUGGUACACGCCUUAAGACAGACCGUAGAGUUCUGCAGUCCUAGGACAGAAUGUCCAUGAUACCGAUGCCGUUUGAAGAUACUAAAAGCAGCAGACAUUUGCAAAGUCUGUGCAGGCAGAAUUUUAUGACCAAAGUCAAUGUUUAUUUUUGGGCCGUGGUAAUUAUGAUGUAAGGAAAGGAUUAAGUCCUAGUUAGUUAAGAAACUUGAAAACCAUGCACUCUGAAGAGGCUGCACCCUCUGAAAACUUAGGGAGGGUCGUGUCCAUAUCCCUUGCAGAACCAGCUAGUGGUCGUCAAUAAGCUCCCUGGUGGCAAGGCUCCCAGGGUGGACGAGAUUUGCCUUGAGUGGCUGGCUGGUUGUUGUCCUGUCUUGACUGACACACCUUUUUAAUGUUGCCCGGGGGGUCUGGAAAACUCACAAUGAACUGGAAGACCGGGCGGGGGGUUCCCCUAUUGAGCGCACUCAAACGAGUGAGCUCGAACUAUCGCGGGAUCACACUAAGCCUUCCGGGGAAAGCUUAUGCCAGGGUCCUGGAAAGGAGGAUUUGACCGUUUAUCGAACCUCAGAUUUAAGAGGAGCAUUGCGGAUUCCGUCCUAGUUGUAGACAGUCCGUCUAAACUUGUACUUAAAUUGCAUGGUUCUGGGAUUGAGUAAGAAUAUUAUUGAACAGAUAAUGGAACUAUAAAACUUCACAGGUGCUUUUCAUAUUACGAUACCCAGGUCAUAUUUUAGUGCUCAGUGUAAAUCCAAACAGGGCGUUGUCUGUAACGAGCGUCGGGCAAAUGUUAAAGGUGCGUCAGGGAUGCUGAUAUGCUGGGAAUACACUAUCUAGCGCAACCCGGGUGUUGAGAAUGUCAGGUUCAUGGGUCGAGAUUGCCUCUUUGCUGUUGGCAGAUGAUGUGAUCCUGUUGGCCGGCUUGGACAAUGACCUAGUCCAGCCAAGUGGUGAGCGGCAGCAAUAAAAGUUACCACCCCUAAAUCUGAGGCCAUGCUGUUCUCUCCAAAACCAGUGAAUUAUUCUCUACGGGUGGGUACAGACUGCAUAACGCAAGGCAGUUCUUGGGGUCUUCGAUCGGAAGAUCGACAGGCAGAUUGACAAGAGCCUGAAGCACUGAACCUGCGCCACCUUCUGAGUGAGAAGGGGACGUAUUCUCCUGAUGUUAUAGAGUGUUUAUCUACAGGAUUGUGUUGUCGUAGUAAUGUUGGGAGUCUGGGAGAGUUGACUGUCAAGUGUCACGCCAAGGUUCCUAGCAGUCAAAGUCGGCGUUAACGCCAAAGUUGCCAAAGUUAACAGUCAAGUCGUGGGUAGGAGAAUCUUUUCCCGGAAAGAGUAGUUUUUCAGUCUGGUCGGUGUUGAUUUUCAGAUGGUGACCGGACAUCCACUGAGAUGUCAGUCAGGCAGAGAUCCGUGCCGCGUGUCCGAGUGAGGGAAGGAGAGAAUUAGUUGGGUGUCAUCGGCAUAGCUGUGGUAGGAGUUGCCAUGCAAGCGAAUGCCAGCGCCGAGAGAGAGUUGGUGUACAGCGAGAAGAGGAGGGGACCCAGGACGGAACCCUGAGGAACUCCAGUAGUAAGAGCACAAGGUUGCGACACAGAACCUCGCCAGGUUACCCGGUAGGUGCGGCCGUCGAGUUAGGACGAGAGAAAGGAGAGAGCAGAGCCUGUGACAGUUCCUGGAGGGAGGAAAUAAGGAUCUGGUGGUUAACUGUUAAAUGCAGCAGAGAGGCCAGAAGGAUGAGGACAGAGGCGGUGGAGGUGUGGAGUUGCUCUGAGACAUGAGACAGCAAGGAGAGCAGUCUGUGGAAUGGCCUGCCUUGAAGCCUGACUGGUGGGUCAAGGAGGUUGUUACGGUGGAGAAAGGAGAGUUGGGUAAAGAUUUUGACAAGGGAAGAAGAGGGAGCGGUCUGUUGUUUUCUUCAGAAGGGUUGAGGGUAGGUUUCUUCAGGAGUGGGUUAACUCUUGCCUCCUUCAGAGAAUUGGGAAAACAGCCAGAUAACAGAGCAUUGUUGAUGAGACAGGUGAGGAAAGUCAGUUGAUGGGGCGGGGUCGUUAGUUAUAGAGUGGAAGAGAGUAGGAGAUGAAGUGGUCAGAGACAUGAAGUGGAGUUAGUGAGGUGGUAGAGCAGUUUCAAGUGAAGAUUUAGUCAACGUGAUUGCCGGCUUUGAGUAGGAGGAGAGGGACUGAGUGAGAGCGAAAGAAGAAAGUAGGAGUAAGAGGUCAGAUGACAUCUGUCUGGAUGUUGAAGUCGUCCAGGAGGAUGAGCGGAGGGCCAUUUUUAAGGGAACUUGGACAGGAGAAUGUCCAGUUCUUCCAAGAAAGGACGCAAAGAUCAACAGUAUUUAAUUGGCUGUGCUCUAUCAUUUUUUAUUAAAAGAUGAAUGAAUGCUAUCCACCCUGGAAAUAACCACUAUGUCUACUCUGUACUUGUAGUGGAAGUUACACAAACACCAUCGUGUUUGGGUUCAUGACAUCAUCCGUUGCUGCACAGAGCUUGGUGAAUUUCACUGACUCCUCCAGGAAGUGACGUGGUUGAGUGCCGCUUUCAGCGCUACUUCAGGCUAACCGGUAGCCAGGAUCUCUCGGUUGGACACCACCUGCAGGCGUUCGAUCUCAGUUGCAAACCACCAGUCUUUCUCCGCUGUUUCAUAAAGUAUAUUCAUGCUUGGGCAGCGUUGAUGAUGAGCGUAGUCACCUCAACGCUGAUUGGCUUUUCGCAAGAAUUUCAUAGGUAUCACAAUGAAGAAAUAAAACGUUACUCUAGAACUAUCAGAAAUUUGCAGGGCUAAUAUUCUGAGCUAACUUUUAUUUGAACAUAAAAUAUAUUGUGAUAUCCCGAGAGGCGCCGCCGCUCUCACCGGGGUAGUUCAAGUAGUGAGGACACCAGGUUCAAAUAUGUAAACAAACGUUUAAUUCACAUCCUUCAGAUUAAACAGAAAACAGUAGUCAAAACAGGUAACUCAGGCUUUGGUCGCUCUUCGCCGGUAAAACUUAAACAAUGCCUCGUCUUUGGAGGGGAAUCGUAAAUCCACCUCCCUCAAGACAAUAUACCGUCUUCUCCAACGGCCUGCCCCCGGGAAUCCUCCUGCAUUGGUCUGGUCUUCUGCAGCGGGCCCAACCUGCAGCUCGUCUCUCUCCCCUCAAUGGUGUGUCUCCCGCCCCUUAUGAAGGCCUUCAGGUCGUCAUACCCUGAUGAGUUUCAGGUGUGAGGGGGAUGCUCGGAGUUUCGGGGUGGGGUUCCUAACUCCACCGGCAGAUGGAGCCAUAGCAGUUACAGCCAUCUGCGGUGAACGGAUCUCCCUUCCAAGACCCAGCCUCUUGUGACAUCACAAUAUUUAUUGUUCAUUUAGAAACAGUAUCACUAGGGUUCAUAAGUGAUGAGAAGUUCGGAUCAUUUUGAAUCUCAUUUAGUAAAAUGAACAAAUAUUUUUUCGAGUCAUUCGUUCAUUUCAUCGGGGCGGGGGUGUUCACACUUUAUAGCCAAUUCCCUGGCCUAAAUGCAAACACGUAUCAUAUUCUCAUGUAGGUUAGUGCAUGUAAACCAGCAGCUAAUUUAAAAGAAAUUCCUGCAUUAAAAUAAUGUAUCCUGACAGUUUGGAUGAUUUGAAAUGGUCAUGUAUUAUCACACUAGCAUUUAAUUAUCACAGCACUUUUUACGCUGCACUGAGCUGUAACAAAAAAGUUAAAAUAGCCAAACCUGUUAUUAUUACUUGUGAACGAAUAUCAUUCACGUCUUACUAAAUCCAGUGACUCAAACGUUAACAAGGUAAACAAAUCCACGUACCCGAAGACCCACACUCUAAAAAAUGUGACCAAUGGUUAUUCAAAAAAAUGGUGGAAACAAAGUGACAAAUAAUAUAAUUAGUGGAUUUCAAUUGCUAAAACUUUGAGUAAAAUCUAUAGAAAAAAUGUAUUAAAUCUACAAGCGAUAUUUAGUUAAUCC